CCGGCCACGCACGACAGCACCGGCCUGAGGGACGGAGACAGGCAGCCGAGGCUGGUGAAGGACAGCAGCCACACCAGGCUGGCGAAGACCAGGAUCAGGACGCUGUGUUUGAGUUUGAGAGUGGGGACGAGAGUGAGCAGACCCACGCAGCCCAGCACAAACAGCAACCUGCCCAUCAUCUGCAUCUGAUGGUGCUCCUCUCCCCACUGCAACAAGCGCACGACCAUCAAAUCCCCCAAGUAGCAUGAUGCUGGCAAAGACAAAAGCCAACAUCUGCUGCUCUCCCUCUUGGUCCGCCUCAGGUAGAGGGUGAGGAAGAAAUACGCGCAGCCGAUGCUGAAUAAAGGACUGACGGACUGGGAGAAAUCCAAGAGGAAAGUCCGCAGCUCCAAGACGCCGUGUUCACUCUGAAAGCUCCUGGAAACGAAACAGGAGAGCGCCAGAACUGCCAGCGCUCCCACGUAGAUAGCCGAGCCGCGGAAUAGUUUGGACUUGAGGAUAUCCUCGUUGCAAAACCUGCAGACGUUGAAUAAAAAGCCCCUCGGAUGGUCUUGUUUUAACGGAGUGACGCAGCUCUUCACAUAGCCGUUCCUGAAGCUCUCCGCGCUGUUUGCAUUGCCAACAACACCAUCGUGCUGCUGCUGUCUGAUUUUACUGUGCAAAACCUCUCCUUCCUCCCGCACAGCCAUGUUGUCCUCCUUCGGUGCUCUUUAAACUUUCAUUCCUCCGAAAUAAAUCCUACGUGUGUCAACGUUUCACUACAUGACGGCGAACGCGCUCCAUGGUCACUCAAACGUGCUCAGGCAUUUUGGCCAGGAGGAAAAGAGGCUGAAAUGUUGUUGUUUUUUAGCAGACCCGAGCUCUAUGUCGCCGUCUAGGUGCGACAAUUUGUAACAAUGACUAGAGCGCGAGACACAGACGCGCGCGCGCGCUCUGCAGCGCAACCAAACCGCCGAGCUCUUUAUUCACCUCUCUAUUUGUCGAGUUUUUCUACAUUAAUCAAGGUGUUUAAAUAAUACUACACUAUAUUGGUAGAUAGAAUGUAGCUCGAGAUCUUAUUAAAUUAUACAGUCUAUCUAUGCCCUGUGUGUGGGAGUGAGAGUGUUAGAAAUUGAAACUUCAGCGUCUUGUGUAACACAUUUAUUGUUUUUAUUGUUAAUACGACUCUGGGAUAUGAUUGAAUAACAUGAUUUUAGUAGCUUAAUGGAAAAAGUA
rnacentral:lncRNA from 1 species